GGCUUGGUGGCACAGUGGUUGAGCGUUUGGCUGCUAAUCAAAAGGUCAGUGGUUCAAAUUCACCAGCCA
rnacentral:tRNA from 1 species